rnacentral:lncRNA from 1 species
GCUCCCUCUGCCUGAGGCCCCCGGGCACUAGGCCCCAGAGGAGGCCCCCGGGGGCCCCUCCACGGUCCAGUCUUCACUCCCCUCCACUCUGAAACCUUGUAGGUACCCAGGCUGUGAGUCUAUGACGCUCUUCUCUUGCGCUUGUGUUAUUUAUCUGUCAUUCUUCCCUUGGGUUUCCUUUCGUAGUCCACUGGAGAUGGGGCCUCUCUCUCCAGAGGACGCCUGGGCCAUAGUGAUCCAUUUAGAAGCAGGAAGACAGCUCUGGAGGAUAGUAGAUGUCAUUUCCGAAUGUGAACAGCUUUCUCAGGCCCAUCACAGCCAGCCAAAUCAGGCUGGCAAUUUGUAAACAACAGCUCUUCCUCCCGGCCAGGCCCACGGUGACAAAACUAAAGGGCUACCUGCUCCUUCCUUGCUUCUCUCCCCCCUCCCUCCCUCCCUUCCUCCCUUCCUCCCUCCCUUCUUUCCCCCUCCCUCCCUCCCUUCUUUCCUCCCUCCCUUCCUCCCUUCCUUCCUCCCUCCCUUCUCUCCUCCCUCCCUCCCUCCCUUCCUCCCUUCCUUCUGUCCCCCCUCCCUUCCUUCUCUCCCCCUCCCUCCCUCCCUUCCUUCUCUCUUCCCUCCCUUCCUCCCUUCCUUGUCUCCCCCUCCCUCCCUCCCUUCCUCCCUUCCUCCCUCCCUUCUUUCCUCCCUCCCUCCCUUCUUUCCUCCCUCCCUUCCUCCCUUCCUCCCUUCCUCCCUUCCUUCUCUCCCCCUCCCUCCCUCCCUUCCUCCCUCCCUUCCUCCUUCCCUUCCUUCCUUCCUUCCUUCCUUCUUUCCUUCCUUCCUUCCUUCCUCCUUCCCUUCCUUCCUCCCUUCCUCCCUUCCUCCUUCCCUUCCUUCCUCCCUUCCUUCUCUCUUCCCUCCCUUCCUUUUUUCUUUCUUUCCUUCCUUCCUCCCUUCCUUCUCUCUUCCCUCCCUUCCUUCUCUCUUCCCUCCCUUCCUUUUUUCUUUCUUUCCUUCCUUCCUUCCUUCCUUCUUUCUUUCCUUCCUUCCUUCUUUCUUUCCUUCCUUCCUUCUUUCCUUCCUUCCUUCUUUCUUUCCUUCCUUCCUCCUUCCCUUCCUCCCCCUCCUCCCUCUCUUCCUUCCCUCUUUCCUUCCUUCCUCCUUCCCUCCCUUCCUUUUUUCUUUCUUUCCUUCCUUCCUUCCUUUCCUCCUUCUUUCCUUCCUUUUUUCCUAUCUUCCUUCCUCCCUCCUUCCUUCCUUCUCUUUCCCUUCUUCCUUCUUUCUUUCCCUUCCUUCUGUUUCUCUUCCUCCUCUUCUUCUUCAAAGAGACCAAAUAGAAAUAACGCUGAGGGAUCCUGCAGGGACUCUGGGCACCAGAGCAAAACUCCCAGAGAUCCGUGCACAAACACAGAUCCCUCCUCCUCUUCAUGAUUUCACCCAAAGUACGGUCACCCUCCUUGAG